UCCAGACUCCUACGGGAGGCAGCAGUGAGGAAUAUUGGUCAAUGGGCUUACGCCUGAACCAGCCAAGUCGCGUGAGGGAAGACUGCCCUAUGGGUUGUAAACCUCUUUUGUCAGGGAGCAACGCCGGCUACGUGUAGCCGGACUGAGAGUACCUGAAGAAAAAGCAUCGGCUAACUACGUGCCAGCAGCCGCGGUAAUACGUAGGUGGCAAGCGUUGUCCGGAUUUACUGGGUGUAAAGGGCGUGUAGCCGGGCUGACAAGUCAGAUGUGAAAUUCCGGGGCUCAACCCCGGACCUGCAUUUGAAACUGUUGGUCUUGAGUAUCGGAGAGGCAGGCGGAAUUCCUAGUGUAGCGGUGAAAUGCGUAGAUAUUAGGAGGAACACCAGUGGCGAAGGCGGCCUGCUGGACGACAACUGACGGUGAGGCGCGAAAGCGUGGGGAGCAAACAGGAUUAGAUACCCGCGUA
rnacentral:rRNA from 1 species